GACGAACGCUGGCGGCGUGCUUAACACAUGCAAGUCGAACGCUGAAGCUUGGUGCUUGCACUGGGUGGAUGAGUGGCGAACGGGUGAGUAAUACGUGAGUAACCUGCCCUUGACUCUGGGAUAAGCCUGGGAAACUGGGUCUAAUACUGGAUACGACAUGUCACCGCAUGGUGGUGUGUGGAAAGGGUUUUACUGGUUUUGGAUGGGCUCACGGCCUAUCAGCUUGUUGGUGGGGUAAUGGCUCACCAAGGCGACGACGGGUAGCCGGCCUGAGAGGGUGACCGGCCACACUGGGACUGAGAUACGGCCCAGACUCCUACGGGAGGCAGCAGUGGGGAUUAUUGCACAAUGGGCGGAAGCCUGAUGCAGCAACGCCGCGUGCGGGAUGACGGCCUUCGGGUUGUAAACCGCUUUCGCCUGUGACGAAGCGUGAGUGACGGUAAUGGGUAAAGAAGCACCGGCUAACUACGUG
rnacentral:rRNA from 1 species